ACAAAUUCGCCGUAUACAAAGGAAUUUCCCCUGUAUACGAAGCGUCAAAGUACCUGUAGAAAUACGAUACUACAAACAGUAGCAUAGAGCUGCUCAAUAACAAAAGCUAAUAACUGAGUUUCUUAUACAUAAUCCAAAACCAAGAUACAGAGUUACUCGCACUGGCGAGUUAAGUGAGCUAUGUACCUAAACUCAGACAAAACGUCUACCUGCAGUAGGGGGUGCCUCUAGCUCUGUCAGUCGGGUAGGGCUCUAGCUCGCGACGCCCUUGCCUCGAUCCUGAUCCGCGGAAGGCGCAGUAGCCGAAACCUGUGGCUCUGCAAAACAAGAGUAACAACUGGGCGUGAGAACUACUGUAAAAACAAGUAGUCCUCAGUGGGUACCGCCCAAACAACAUCGGUCACCCACUAAGUCUACAGAAGGGAGCAAGAAUAGUAGGAAAAGCAGGAAGUACGCUCUACCGCUAUCAAUCACUACACUAUCAUGCUCUACACUAACCAACUGUAGAAAAUGUCAAUCUGACCCAAUCCAAUCGGGACUAUAAACAUACCCGUCCCUGGGACUGUGAACACACCCGUCCCUGCCCCGUUGCGACUAUCCAGCUACCUCCACACCAACUGGUCCGUGGAGAGCAAGUCCAACUGGCAUGAGCGACACCAACGCGAAAGCACAAGCCUGACUCCGGAGUGGCACUCGUGGGCGCUACCCAACCGAGUAUGCAGCGUAUCUCUGUCGAGCUCAAACAGGCUCCAACUAGCCAAAGUCAAGUAAUCGACUCAAAAUGGUCUAACAACCAACAGGUAAGUGCCCUCGGCACAAUCUGACGCCCAAAAAGGCGAUACGGGUCCACCGUCAACUCUGACGGCACCCAACAGUCCGAAACAACCUGAACGACCCUGUAAAAAUCCACUCGGCGCACCAGCACGAGCGUAAAUAUAUUCUAAACUACCUGAAGUACUCGUCUCGAAGAUACUGCGACAGUACAAUUUUAUAACGGCUCCUAGAGCUAAAUCAGGCAGUUUAAACAUGUGACAGGUCCAAAUCGCAGGUUUUCUCCUAAUUCAAAUUCCAAGUCCAACAUGUAUAAACUACUCAAUUUAAUAUCACAUGCUCCAAAUUCAGAUUUGCUAUCUAUAACAAAAUCCAUGAAUUCGAGCUAAAGUAAACUAUACAAAAUCUGAAAUUACACAUGUUGACUAUUGCGCACUUAGGAGUAUAAGCCGAUGAUUAACCCACCUUAGUCGCUAAUCCCCAGCAGCGAGGACGUCCCGAAGCAAAGGAACACCCUGCUGGAUCAAUCCGCAAACCUCCAAAGGCCAGAAAUCACGCUCCCGCCAAACUCUACACGUAAAAUCCGAAAAUGAGCACCGAUUCUGCCUCAAAAACAGCAGCAGAGAAGAGAAUAAUUCCGACCAAGAAAACCUCCACCAAAACCAGCAAGUAAGGGCUUCUUGGAUUCCUCUCGAAGUCCCGAAUCCAACGAACCAAGUCUCGUCGAAAUCCGAUGCUCCUACGUCGAGAGGGAGCCGAAACGCCGACGGUCGACGCUGGAAAUCAGUGAAAACAGCACCUCGAGCUCGAAUUCAAUGAAGCUUGAAGUAGAGAAGAAAUCCAUGGAGGAAUGAGAGGAUACCCACCUCAACCAGCGACUCCAAUUCCGGCACGGCGUCGAGAACGACGAAAACACUCCCUCGCCCGGCCUCCUCGCGAAACUACGGCGACGCACGUAUGCUCGGACGGCUCCGCGGCGCGAUGUCGACGACGAAAUGCUCCACACGAACUCUUCCUUGCUCACAAUCGGCUAGAGAGAG
rnacentral:lncRNA from 1 species